AAAUUAGANCUAAAUCAUUUAAAUUAAACUUAGAAUUUAAUACAAN
rnacentral:tRNA from 1 species